rnacentral:rRNA from 1 species
UUUUUUAUGAGGAUCUUCUCUCUUCGUAGCAGGUAGAGAAAGGGAACGGAAACAAGGGAGAAGGAGGGAGGAGGACGACUGGGCUGGGCUGGAUGGUUGGGCGGAAGGGGUGGCGUCGUCGAGCCUUAGAGGGGAGCGGCAGGCGGGCGGGGUGCCGGCGGCGGCUGCGGGGGCAGGGCACGGCGGAGGAGGUUCGUGGGGGCCGGGCCGGGGAGUGCCGCGCAGGGGCGGCAGGGGGGGAAAGCGAGCAGCCCCGCGGCGCAAGGACGACGGAGGCGGGGCAGUCGCCAGGGGCCGGCGGCCAAAGGCUCCGAAAACUCCCUAAUAUCGGCGUCUUCUUUGGACCGCCCACCAUACUCGCGGCUCCGUCCGUUGCCCUUCCUCCUUCGGUCCUUCUGUCCAAACCUCCCGUGGCCUGACGGGGAAGGUCCACCGAGGGUACCGUCGCACGCUACGCGACCGUCGCUGGGCGUCAACUCUGUCUACGAACUAAGGGAGUUUAGGAGGUUCAGAAGUCGGCACUAGUUGAUACCGCGGAGUACCACGCCACAAACGUUAGUCUAAGAAGGUGGGAAGAUGUUUAAGUCGUUGCUUAAGUUCUUAGAAUGAAAGCAGAUACGGGUACAACUACUUACGGGGCUUUGUUGAGUCUUGUAUGUUAUGUGGGGCUGGAAGGUAAAAAUGGCCCUACCUCUUUCCCACCUACUCUACAAACCACGUCCCCUUCUCUCCGAUGCCCUAGCCAACACCAACGUAAGCACUAAAGAUCCGAAACCGAACGUCACGACGACAAAAGUACAUGAAUCAAUACGUGACAUGGAGCCUAAAUAGGAAAAAGACUUCAGAACAAACUACACCUUUCCUUCCCGUUACAAUUUGACUAAUCGCACAACGAUCAAAGAGAGGGUCCGUCUUCGGUAAUAAAAAGUAAUAAAUGAGCGUUUCGUAAAAUGUGACAUUAACUUGGUACUGACAUUAUGUAGUCGUUGAUUACGACGAUCACUACCUUCAC